UCACAUUCAUUAAGCACAAAACAUCAGGUGAAUUCUUGCAAAUGGUCAGUUGGUCCAAGUCAUUUGGUUGGGUAAGGGAAGGCUUUUAUUCAAGUGAUUCAAGAGGUUCAAAACAUAUGAUCUUUAAGGUGGUUUACUCUCGAAACAAGUAGCCUUGACAUUGCACAUAAUAUAUCUAAGAAAGGGAUCAACUCAUGCAUACAAUGCUCAAUCUCCAUUGUUCUACCCUUUUUCUAAACAUACAAUUACACAAUCAUUCCCACAUGUCAAACACAACUCACAUCUCUCACCAAAAGAUCCUAAGAACUUUAACUCCUUCUCUUUGAAAUCUACAAGGGAUUUUUUCAGAACCUCAAAAUAUUUCUUAGCUCCUAACAAAUUUGCUAGCCCCUUUUUCUUUUUUUUUCUUUUUCUUUUUCUUUUCUCUUUUCUUUUUUUUUUAGGUUGGGGGCCAAUACUUUCAAAACUUGAGCUAGAGGCUUCUCUACUUAUCCCAAUAAAACAAUUCACUUAAGCACAAAGAGUCUAUUCUUUUUCUUUUUCAUUUCUCCCAAAUCAUAAUCACAACACUCACCCCCCCCCCACCUAUAGCUAGACAAUAGAGUGCCCAAUCUAGCAAGAAUGAAGAUCAAGCAUUGUCGUUCCCGAUACUCUGAACAUUAUGCACAUGUAAGACUUUCCGAAAAAGGCCUCACUCAUCAAACAAUGAAAGCUUAAAAGGAGGGAAAGGUUUUGGGAGUGGUCUACCACUAGAGUUUGUCAAAAAACAUUGGCAUAAAAGAUGUGACAACUCAAGUGUGUAUAGCCAUGACUUAGUACACAAGGGACCAUGAGCAAGAAGCAUUAAGUUCGUUCAGUUCAAAUAAGGUUGUAGUUGGCUUCAAAGACUGAGUUUCAGCAAUCAACAAGUUUCAGGAAGAGUUUUCAAGGCUCGAAACAUACAAGUCUUUUUGAGAGGUGCAAAAGCUACUCAGGUGCAACGUAGUGUUCUUUACAAGGCAUUUAAAAUCAUUGCUCCUAAUGCAAGUGAAUGCAACCUAUAUGCUCUAGACUCUCCUAGAAAUGCAAAUGAUGCAAACUAAAUGAUUGUUUUUUUUUUAUAUGCAAAUAGGUAUGCAAUGCAUGACUCAAUGAAACAACAUCAAAGCAAACAUGAUCAAAUACUUGGUACCUCCCCCAAACUUGAGUUACACAGUCUCUGUGUUGUCAAGUAGAGAGAGCUACCCAAAAGAAGACUAAUAUGCAAAAAUGAAAUGGUAUAUACAAGGGAGUGUGGUGGUUUACCUUCUAUGGGGAAUGAGUAGAGGGAGAUGCUCCCUCCUCGUCGUCCUCAGGUGAUAACUCUUCAAGAUGCUUGUCAGCAGGAGUGGCCAUCUCUUCAAUGUAGAAGGCUUGCCCGAACACAGUUGGUUUCCUAAUUUUCUCCUUGAUGUCAAAGUGUAGGAUGUUCUCUUUACCCAAAUGGAGAUCAAUCGUGCCUUCCUUCACAUUAACAAUAGCUCCUGUUGUAGCUAAGAAUGGCCUUCCUAGAAUCAAUGGGUCUUGAGCCUCCUCACCCAUCUCAAGCACCACAAAAUCUGUAGGUAUCUCAUACCUCCAAUCUUCACAGGGAGGUCCUCUAAGAUGCCCACAUGAUACUUCACUGAACGAUCAGCUAACACCAGAGAGAGUCUACACUUCUUGUACUGAGUGAAUCCAAGCUUCUUUGCAACAGACAAAGGCAUCAAGCUGACACUAGCUCCCAAAUCGCAGAGACAUUUCUCAAAUACCAUAGGUCCAAGAGCACAAGGUAGUGUGAAGCUUCCUGGAUCCUCUAACUUCUCUGGAACAUCAAGCCUCUGGAUGAUGGCACUGCACUCAUGGGUAAGAAUCAUCAUGCCUUCCAUCUCCUUCUUCUUUGCAGCUACAGCAUCUUUCAAGAACUUGUUGUAUUGAGGAAUCAACAUAAAAGCAUCGAUGAUGGGCAUUGCAACCUGAGCUUCACUCAUUUGCUUCUCAAACAGAGCCUUGUAUUUCUCUAGCAGCUGCUUCUUGAAUCUACCAGGGAAUGGAAGUUUGGGUUCAUAGGGAGGAGGAACAAAAUAACUUUCACUUGCUGGAGUAACAACUUCACCAUCCUUUAAUGUCUUCUUCUCUUCCCCAACCUUUCCUUUACCUUUGGCUUCCACUAUCUUCUCCAAGAUCUCGUCAUUGAUCUUCUCAUCAACAAUCACCACUUCAUCAUCUAUGUUGAUGGCAACCCCCUCACUUAGUUUCUCAGCAUCCUUGGUGAGGGUUCUAGGAGGUAACUGCUUACCACUCCUAAGGGUGAUAGCCUUGGCCUCCUUAGGGUUUUGGUCAGACUUUCCAGGUAUAGAUCCUUGCUGGCGAUUCUGGUGAGUGUUCAUGGAAGCAAACUGAUUCUCUAAAUUCCUGACUGUAGAAGCAAGGUGUGGGAAUUUGUUGUUGAGCUCAUUGUAACUUCCAUCAAUCUUGGUAUGAAGGUUCUUCAACUCAUAACCAACAUGCUUCUCACUUCUAGUCUGAGACUCCAAGAUUUGUUUCAGUAAGGUAUCAGUGCUGCUCUCUUGAGGAGCAGAGGAACCAGACGAGGGGUUUUGCUGAGGAUGAUAGCUGCCUUGCUGGUUGUUUCUAGGCGGAUAACCACUCUGUUGGUUGGUUGGAUAGAAUUUCUGUUGGUAGUUGUUGUACUGAAAGUUGGGCUCUUUUUUGUACCAGCUACCAUUGUUGUUAAUGAAACACAACUCCUCUUGACCUUCCAAACCAUCAACCUCAUUGACAACAAGUGGAUCUUCCUGCUUGGAGUUACCAACAAACUUCAGCUGCUCUUGGGUGGCUUUUUCAGCAAUGAGUAGGUCGAUCUUGUCUUCCAAAGCUUUGAUCUCUUUCCUCGUCUGCUUAUCAUCUGUUAUACUGCCUCUGUCAUGGUCUCCACUGUAGACUGCAUCACUCUUUACCAUGUUGUCAACCAGCUCUUCUGCAUCCUCUUCAGUUCUCCCCAAGAAGAAUCCAUUGCUAGCUGUAUCCAGUCUGGCUCUGUACUUAGGAAGAGCACCACGGUAGAAUGUGCUCAGCAAGCUCUCCUUAGAGAAGCCAUGGUGUGGGCAUUGAGCUUGGUAGCCCUUGAAUCUCUCCCAGGCUUCACUGAAACCUUCCAAGUUCUUCUGUUGAAAGCUGGAAAUCUCGUUUCUCAGCUUAGCAGUUCUUGAAGUAGAGAAGAACUUCUCCAAGAAUGCUUUCUUGCAGUCAUCCCAAGUGGUGAUGGAGUCGCUGGGUAGAGACUUCUCCCACUGACGUGCCUUAUCCCCCAAAGAGAAAGGGAAUAGCUUGAGCUUUAAGGCAUCUUCGGACACACCAUUUGUUUUUGACAACCCACAGUAGCUGUCGAACCUGUCCAAGUGAUCAAAUGGAUCCUCUAGAGCCAAUCCAUGAUACUUGUUGUUCUCGAUCACGUUGAGGAGUCCUGAUUUGAUCUCAAAGUUGUUGGCUGCCACAGCUGGUGCUCGGAUUCCCAAUCUAUGACCAUGAAUGUUGGGGCGGUCGUAAGUGCCAAUGGGUCGAGCUGCUCGCUGUUGGUUUUGUGGAACGUUGUUAGCUUCAUUGACACCCGCAUAAUUUUGAGGUAUGUCUUCCAUAUCAGUGUCCAAUCUCUGCAAGUGAGCCUGUUGCACUUCUUCUCUUCUCUUUCUAGCACACUCUCUCUCUAAAGCUCGGAUGUCUGCAGCUCUUGGAACUAGGUUUGAUGGACCCCUGCUCCUCAAGUUCAUGCACCUGUAGAUUAAGGGGAGGUGAAGAAGAAUCAGUAACGAAAUAAAAUAAAAAUGACUUAGUCUCAAGCAAGUGACUAAAUCUCAAUGUUGAAAUCUACUCAGAAUUUGGCAACGGCGCCAAUUUGAUGUUAGGAGUUUUCAAGGCUCCUAAGACAAAUGUUGUAGUAUAAAUGAUUGUCGAACCAGUUCUGAGGGAUAUCAAAGCACCGAGAAUGCAAGUACUCACUUAAUCUAAGUGCAACCAAUGAUUUAGAUGGGUUUUAAGCUACGACUAAAACUAAAAAGCAAUAACAGAAUGAUACUUUCUUGACUAAGGGAAAAGAGAACUCAUGGGCAUAGGGAUUAGACCUUGGGUGAUCAAGUAUCGAACUAAGGAUGGCAAAUGAUCGAUCAAACUAUCGACCUUAAGCCUAGACACAAUUCUAAGCAAGCUCUAUGUCUAGAUGAAUGCUCAUUUGCUAACAUAUCUCAAACAUCAAAUGUCUUUGGUUGAAUAAUAUGAAAGCAAUCAUUACUAACAAGUCUAUUAGCUAUCUUAGCACCUUUAACAACAAAUGUCUUUGGCAAAGUAUACUAAAAGCCUAGGAGAGUUGUCUCGGGCAUUUCAUCGAACACCUUUCGGGUGAGAAAUGCCUAAAGAUCAACAACUGAGUGGCCAACUCAGAAGAUGCAUUAUGAUUACUCUACUAGCAAGGAAAUACGAAUGAUCUACACUAAAACAUCCUAGCUCUAACCUAAUCACCCUUAAUCUCCCUAACCCAUGAAUUCAAAAGGUGAUUACUCACUAAUCUCCAUGAUUCCUCUUAAACCCAUAUUGGAUUUCAGAUUAAUCAUGUAGAGAAAUAGAUAAGAAAUCAACAAGAACACAAGAACAUAACAAUCAAAAUCCAAGAGAUGAACUUCUCCAGAGAGUUUUUGUGUAUUUCUCAAUAGAUCAAAAGAUAAUCUGCCUGGUGGCUACAAAAGAUGUUUAAAACAUAGGUUUUUCCAAGUGCAAAACAUUCAAAAUAAAUUGCAAAAAGGUCCUUGAGAAAUCAUGAUUUUUGGCAGCAAAAUAACGCGGAGCGACUUGCAGGUGUCGCUCCGGGAAGUCGCUCCAGGGCCGAUUUUUGGUGUCUCCGGGCGAGAGGUCGCGAGCGACUUUGGUGUGUCGCUCCAACGGGUCGCUCUGGAUCGGGAGCGACCUUGGUAGGUCGCUCUGAGAGGUCGCUCCAGGGUCAUCUAAGACUGUUCGGAGUAAUGAGAACGCGAGCGACUUCAUGGCGUCGCUUUAGGAAGGUCGCUCUGAGAAGUGGGACACAGCGACUUCGUGAUGUCGCUCCGGGAGGUCGCUCCCAUGCUCGGUUCGUCCAAUGGUCACCUUUUCACCUCUUUUGAGCUCCAAAUAACCUCAUGUGGUACUCCAGUACCUAAUAGAGACUCAUGUAUGCAAAAUGCAACCUAAACAUGUCUAAAUCCUAAUCUAUAUGAUGAAAAUGUUUAUGAAUGAAUGGAUAAAACAAUGCAAAUAUGCAAGAUAUCAUUAAGGUGCUUGGGAUAGUGGAUGGAGACACCAAACCGGCUAUGGGAUACAUAUAUGCUGCUAUGGACAGAGCUAAAGAGGCUAUUGCAAGGAGUGUCAAGAUGAAGCAAGAGAAAUAUGAGAAUGUGUUUGAGAUCAUUGAUUGAAGGUGGAAUUGUCAGCUUCAUCAGCCUCUUCACGCAGCUGGAUACUUCCUUAAUCCAGCUAUCCACUAUGCCAAUCCUGAAGACGUGUGCUGUGAAGAAGUUGAGACUGGUUUGUACAACUGUAUCAACAGGCUUGUCCCGGAUGGUGAGAUUCAAGAUAAGGUGAUGCUGGAGCUUGAUUUGUUUUAAAAGGCUGCUGGUCUCUUUGGGCAUAACAUGGCAAUAAGGCAAAGGGAGAUGAAAGCACCAGGUAAAUUAUUUUAAGACGUUUAGCUUUUUUUCUUAUUGUCAAUUCUAAAGUCUAAACUAAUUGAGUCUCAUUUGUGUUUGUUUAUAGCUGAUUGGUGGUCUACUUAUGGAUCAUCAGCUCCUAAUCUAAGAGACUUUGCUGUGAAAGUACUAAGCCUAACUUGCAGUGCCUCUGGAUGUGAAAGGAAUUGGGGUGUUUUUGAACUUGUAAGUUUUUUAUAUUCAACUUAUUUCAUAAUCAGAUUGUUUAUGAAGUUCAUUAAUUAUUGUUAUUCAAAUUUCUGUAGCUUCACACAAAGAGAAGGAACCGUUUAGCUCAACAUCGGUUGAAUGACAUGGUGUUUGUCAAGUACAACCGAGCCUUGCAACGUCGCAUGAAGAGAAGUGAUAGCACUGAUCCUAUUCUCUUAGAAGAGAUUGAUGAAAGCAAUGAAUGGCUGAUGGGAAGAAUGGAAGGAAACUCUGAUAGUGAUGAUCUAGAUGAUAAUGUCUUUGAGGAUGAAGAUCUGACAUGGAGUGCAGUGAGUGAAGCAACAAGAGCUGAGGAACCUAACUACACUACUAGAGGAUCAAAAAGCUCAGCAGCGGCAGACAAGGGGAAAGGAGUUGCCUCUUCUUCAACUCAGCCAAGACAGGAACGAUAUGGUCCAGGUCCUUCUAAUCUGUCUCUUGUUGAUGUCGAUGAUGAUGAACUGGAACAUGAUUUGGAAGCAAAUGGCUUCGACAAGGGGAGGAAUUGGAGUUCCAAGAUGACUCUGAAACAGAGUUUUAGAGUUGGUGUUUUAGUUUUGGUAUUUUGUUUUUUUUUUACUUUGAAUUAUGAACCGUUUUGGUUUUGAAUUAUGCUUCGUUUUGGUGUUUUGGUUUUGGUUUUCUACUUAUGAUAUGUUAUUUUGGCUGUUCUCUACAUUAUCAAUAAAAGAUGUUUUGGUUUUAUAUUUAUCGUGUCUUUAUCUAAGUACAACAUACUUGACAGUGUAAAGUGUACAAAGUUACUUUCUAGUCGUGUGAUACACGUAGCGAACGCAAUGAGUCGCCAUGGCGCCUGGCGAGAAUCGACCUCCUGGACGCCAAGCCUCGCCAUACGCAAUUUAAAACCAAGAUUGCCACUGAUCAAAACACAAACAUAUUUGCUAAUCCAUUAAUUUCCUAUAAAUCGUUAUUAGACCAUUCAGUCCGGUAUAUAAUCUAUUUAAUUAAGUUUGACCGGCACAUAGGCUUAUAUUAUUCAAAACCAAUACUCUUGUAAACAUAUAUAUGACCAGUCGUAAACCUAUGAUCAUGCCAUUUAUAAUUUAGACUAGGUUAAGAUCCCGCGCAAUGCGCGGAAUGAACAUUAUAUAUAAAAAUUAUUUUAUAUAUUAUAUGUUUAUAACAUAUUAUGAAAUAAUAAAUAUAUAUUGAAUAAUUAAAAAGUCAUUAUCUAAUACUUAUAUAAUUAAAUUGAUGUGAACAUAUAAAUACAUUUUAUAAAUCAAAAUUUUUUUUUUCUGUUUGAUAUGAUAUAUAAUUAAAUUUAAAUGAUAGUAACAUAUAUAUGAUAUAUUUUAAUAUUAAUAUUUAUUAGAUGAUAUAUUUUAAUAUUAAUAUUUAUUAGAUGAUGUUUUUUGCUCAUAUUUGUUUUUUAUCAUUUGUAUCUGUUAUACCAAAAGUCUAAAUUAGUGAUAACAAAAUUUUCACUGUAUGAUUAAUGGUUUAAGUAAUUUAUAAUAUUUUGAGAAAUUAAAUUGUCAAUAUUUUUUCAAGUUUUUUAUCAAAAAAAUGUUCAAAAUAAAUUUCAAAAUUAAGAUAUUUAUGUAUUUUUAUAUGGCAUAUAGUUUAAUUUAAAAUGAUACAUAUAUUUAUAUAUCUUUUAUUUUUGAUACUUAUUAAAUGAGACUUUCAACUUAUAUUAUUUUUAAAUUAUUUGUAUCAUGUCAUAACAAAAUUUUUAAAUUAUAGAUCACAAAAUUUGAAUGGGAAACUUUUAACAGUUUUAGUAAUUUAUACUCGCUUUUAAAAAUUCAAAAUAUAUUGUAUAAAUAAUUUUUUUAAUUUUUAUUUUAUGGUUACUAUGAUUGUUUAAUUUAUUUUAAUAGCUUAAAAUUAAACAAAUAUAAUUAUAAUACACACUUAUUUUUAUCAAAUCUUUAUUAUUCAAAAUCAUUAAUUGUCAUAUAUACUUUAGCCACAUUAGACAAUUCCGUAAUCUUAUUUAAGGAAAUAAUGAAGCACAUUAAUAAUGUAUUUAUUGGGGUUUAAUAAAAAGCUUAUUAUAUAUUUAGAUGGACCAACCUAUUUCUCUAAGAAUUCUAAGAAUCAUUCUAACGAUGACACGUGGCUACAAAAAAUGUUGCGAUGUUUCUCAAAUAAUAUAUAGAGGAUUAGUUCAUGUUUAUUCAUAGCCAAACAAUGAUAGACAACAAUCUUCACAUCAACGAUUUCUUAAGCACAAUAUGAUGAAGUCAAAUUAACAUUGUCUAGAUUGGUUUUGAUUGUGCAUAUCGACAUUGUACAUAUUGAUCUAAUGAAGCUAUGGUUUGUCGAUUUUUUUGGUUUACCGAAUUUAUAACUUUUUAAAAAUUCUUUAUUAUGUUUGUUAGUAUCCAUUCAAAUAACGAUUCCUACUUCCACGCAAUAUUAAUUACAAUAAAUCAUAACUAAAUAUUCUUUAUUCGAGAAAAAAAACAACAUCCAAAGUUUUUUUUCCUAUUUUUAUGCACUCAUCGUAUCAAGAAAGAAUAUAUAUUAAUUACCACAAUUAUCAUCUAUACUAUUAUUUGCGAAGUAAAUUUUUGGAAUCGAGCUCUUACGUUAAAAGUUAGAGUGGUUAAUAUCGUUUAUACCCUUAAUGAAUAAAAUUUAUAAAUUAACUAAAACAUAAAAACGAAUUUAAAAUUAUUUGGUUAGAUAAGUUAUUAUUAAUAAUAAAAAAACUUAUCCAAUAUCUGAAAGAUAUAUUUUAAGAAUCGAGCUUUCACGUUAAAAGUUAGAGUGAUUAAUAUUGUUUAUACCCUUAAUGAAUAAAAUCUAUAAAUUAGCUAAAACAUAAAAACGAAUUUAAAAUUAUUUGGUUAGAUAAGUUAUUAUUAAUAAUAAAAAAACUUAUCCAAAAUCUGAAAGAUAUAUUUUAAGAAUCGAGCUUUCACGUUAAAAGUUAGAGUGAUUAAUAUCGUUUAUACCCUUAAUGAAUAAAUUCUAUAAAUUAACUAAAACAUAAAGACGAAUUUAAAAUUAUUUGGUUAGAUAAGUUAUUAUUAGUAAUAAAAAAACUUAUCCAAAAUCUGAAAGAUAUAUUUUAAGAAUUGAGCUCUCACGUUAAAAGUUAGAGUGAUUAAUAUCGUUUAUACCCUUAAUGAAUAAAAUCUAUAAAUUAACUAAAACAUAAAAACGAAUUUAAAAUUAUUUGGUUAGAUAAAUUAUUAUUGAUAAUAAAAAACUUAUCCAAAAUCUGAAAGAUAUAUUUUAAAAUAAAAGAUAUUUCCUAUAUAUUUUGUGUUGUAAUCCGAAAACAUAUUUUAAUAAAAUAUUUAAAUACUAAAAAAUUAAAACUAAAAACACAUAGAAAACCUAUAACUUAAUAUUAUUCAAAAAAUAUUAAUCAUAUUUAUACUCAAUUAUUAAUUUUAAAAAAUAAUUUUAGACAAUUUUUAUUACAUGUCAAUAUAAAAAAAAUUAGUUGAGAGGUUUUAACAAUAAAACCCCAUAAAUCUUCUAUCUUUUACUUUAUUUUAUUAAAAUAAAUAUAAAUUCAUAUAUAUAGUUUUAUGUAUAUUUUUAUGUAUAUAUAAAUGUUUUGAGGAUUAUUUUACAUAAUAAUAGAUAUUUUAUUAAAAUAAAAAACUUUAGCGUAUAUAGAAAAUUUAAUAUUAAAUUAAUUAUUAAAUAUUUAAAAAGCAUGAAAAUAACUUAUUCAAAUUUUUUGAAUUGAUAAUAUAUUUCUUUACAAAAUUUUAUAAAAUUAUUAAGUUGCCCGCACUUGCGGACAAAACACCUAGUUUUCUUUUAUUUAAACAUGACAAACACAUAUUUCUUCUCUACAGAAAGUAUAUUCUGUUUUUAUUAUGGUAUAACUUAAAAGGAAUGUAUAUAUUUGAUUUGAUUUAGUGUUAAAAUUAAAACUACCAAAAAUGAUGAGUUGAUCCUAUUAAACAUACCCUUCCCUAUGCCGAGUUUAUAUAUCUCAUUUAUCCUCCGUAAAAAAACGCAUCCAGAAAACCUAAACACGAAACCCUAACUUCAUCAGCCUGUGGUCAAUAUCGAACUAUAAAACAUCAGUACAAGAUGACUAUACGUGUGUGCUCUGGUGGAAGAAUGGUAGAUAUUUCUUAUGCUUCAGAACACAGUUUUAAUAGUUUAGAUGAACUAUAUUUUUUUAUUCAAACAAUUCAUUUACAUAAGCUUCUCUAUCUUUUGUCAAACACUUCCAUACCCUGCAAAGACCUCUAAGUGCCAAAAAGGAACUCGGCACCUAAAGCCAAUAAAGUCUAGGAAAUCAACCUCGUUAAUAAUUCGGGAGCCGUUCGUGACUACUUGUAUCCUCGACGGUUCAUCUAUGGUUGGCGGAACAUCAAACCCGGAGGGAGCUGUUAACCGUAGUACUCGCUUCAGUCCUUUUCAGGUUGUUCACAGCUUGGUACCUCGUGCACCGACAGAUCUAUCCACAUUGCCGGAUCGUCAACGUCUUCAUGGAGUGGCUGAGACAUUUAUGGAGCAGCUCGUCGAAACGCAUGUUCAGACUAAUACAAACUUGGAAGCAUCAGUGUCAAAGUAUAAAUCUGCGGUCGAUGCUCAUCGCCGUCGCCUUAUCUUUGACGUCGGCGACCUUGGGCGUAUUUGACUUGAUACCGUAUGCAUGACCACGCCUAUAAUAAACUCAAGGCUAAGAAGAUCGGUCCGCUGGAAGUUCUUGAGCGCAUAAAUGACAACACCUAUCGACUUCAACUUCCCUCUAAUAUAACUACUUCAGAUGUUUUUAAUGUCAAGUACCUCUCUCGAUAUUUCCCUCCAGAUCAGCCUCACGAUUCACAGACGAAUCUUCUUCACCUCGGGGGACCUGAUGCAGCAGCAUCCUAGUACCUUCAACGUCAAGUUUUCUUUUUAAGUGAUUUCCUUUUUACUUAGGGUUUAUGUUUUUUCUUUUCUAUUAGGUUAAAUAUUCUAAUGACGAUUUAAGAGUCCUAUGUAAGAAACUCUCUUAUGGCUUUUGUAAGAUACACUUUUGAUAAUUAAUAAACUAGCUUUGUGCUUUAUACUUUGAUAGAGAUUCGAUUCAAUUCGUCUUGUUCGAGAAGCCUUGAAAGAGAUUCGAUUAGAUUCAUUUUCUUCAAGUUGCAAGUCUCUAGUGAUUUCAAAUCGAAAUCCCUAGAUUGAGCUGAUAUCUGUUCUUAUCCGCCAUCACACCAACAACAUAAAGCUGAGAUCAUAAUUGGACCCAUUUGGAAAUGAAGUUAAAACAUGGUCCAACAAUUGGUCAAAAACUUUUAGUUUUUAUAGUUGGCGUUUUGUCUGGCUUAUAAUUUAAUCAAAAUAAAUGUUUUUCGACCAAGCUUUAUUGAAUAUAUAUAGCUAAUUUUUCACAUUUAAACAAAUUAACAAUAUUUUUUAGGUUUCAUUGGCCAAAUUCCAAAAUCUCUCGAUUAUAUUCUUUUUUUACACUGGAUUAUCAUUCCAAGGAUUAAUGCAACUCUCCACGAAGACCAUGUCCUAGGAGAAAAAGGUCUGAGAAGUUUAAAAAUCUAACUCUCAGACGAGACUAGAAAACAACAGAAACAAGAAAACAGAACUCACCAAUAGGUGGGUACUACAGAGUGUUCUCCUUACACCUGACAGGAGAAAGUGCUUGCAACCCAAGCUUGAAAGCUAUGAGGAGGACACCUCCUCUAACAACAAGUUCCUCAGCCAUCUCAGACCUCACAAAGCCACAUAUGAUCGGGUUAAACCAUUUAAAAGUCGAGUGAUUAUUUUUAAACAAAUUAUACAACGUAAGUUAUGUUUUUUAUAUAAUUACUGGUAUAUGUUUUUUCAAUAUUUCAAUUGCGCAGGUCUUGUACUACUAUAUACAAAAUUAAUCAAAUGUCUAUUUUUUUUUACAACACAAUCAAAUGUCUAUAUCUCAUAAUCAAAAAUAUUGAACUCAAAGAUACAAUAAAUAAUACUCCAUAGUUUCAUAAAAAAUGCCACUUUGAUAUUUUUCACACAAAUUUAAAAAAUAAUUAAAAUACAUUAAAUUUUUUAUUAAUUACACAUAUUUAACCAAUAGUAUUUGAAAUAAAUAAAAUUAUUUAUUAAAUCAAUGUAUUUGUAAUUAAUUUUAAACUGAAAGUUGCAGAUGAUAUUUUUUUUUGUAACAUGAAAAAAAUGCUAAAGCUAUAGUUAAUAGGAAACAAAUCAGAGAUCUAACGAGGUCCGAUCCGAUGGUUCCUAAGAUGACAUCAAUGGCGGUCGCUAGACCUCUCUGCUCACACUCUUGCUUGUUCCUCGCCUUUUCACUCGUCUCCAUCGUCUCGCUUCUCUUCUUCUCAAACUCCUUACUAUCCGACCCAAAUCUAAGGAUCUCGCGCGGUACCGUCGAAACGGGCAUCAAUGUCUUCGUAGCUGAGCUUCCGAGAUCCCUAAACUACGGUCUCCUCGACAAGUACUGGUCCUCUCCUCCAGAUUCACGCAUACCCAGCGACCCUGACCACCCGACCCGGAAACCCAAUCCACCCAAACCCGGUAAAUACCCGGAGAACCCUCUGAUCAAGCAGUACAGUGCAGAGUACUGGAUGAUGGGAGACCUCGAGACUCCACCCGAGAAACGAAUCGGAUCUUUCGCCAAAAGGGUUUUCAGUGAAUCCGAAGCUGAUGUAGUGUUCGUGCCCUUCUUCGCCACGCUAAGCGCGGAGAUGGAGCUUGGGAAUGGCAAAGGCUCCUUCAGGAAGAGAUCUGGAAACGAAGAUUAUCAGAGGCAGAGGCAAGUUGUCGACUUUUUGAACAAGACUCAAGCUUGGAAGCGAUCCGGUGGACGUGAUCACGUUUUCGUCCUAACCGGUACCAAAUCUUCUUACAAAAAAACAAUAGAUCUGAUAGACUUAGAAUCUUUAAUCUGUUGGAUGUAAUGUAUUUGUUCAGGUUAGUUAAAUGUUGAAGCCUUCUUUGGCAGACCCUGUUGCAAUGUGGCAUGUCCGCCAUGAGAUUGCUCUCUCUAUUCUUCUUGUCGUGGAUUUUGGAGGAUGGUUCAGGCUAGAUUCUAAGUCUAGUAGCUUCCCUGAGAGGAUUGAGCAUACCCAAGUCUCUGUCAUUAAGGAUGUGAUUGUUCCAUACACGCAUCUUCUUCCUAGGCUUGAUUUGUCUCGCAACCAGAGACGGCACAGUCUUCUUUAUUUCAAAGGUGCUAAGCAACUUACUUUUAUCUCAAUCAUUAUAUGUCUUCAUAGCAAAUGGUCUGUGCUCUUAGUAAUUUUGUAUAUAUGUUCACCUUGACAGGGUGGGUUGAUUAGAGAAAAGCUAUGGGACUUGCUGGUGGAUGAACACGACAUUGUCAUGGAAGAAGGUUUCCCUAAUGCAACUGGAAGAGAACAGUCCAUAAGAGGGAUGAGAAACUCAGAGUUCUGCUUGCAUCCAGCAGGUGACACUCCCACUUCAUGCCGUCUCUUUGACGCCAUUCAAAGCCUAUGCAUCCCUGUGAUUGUCAGCGACAACAUAGAGCUCCCCUUUGAAGGAAUUCUAGAUUACUCAGAAUUCUCGGUCUUUGUCUCUGUAAGUGAUGCGUUAACACCUAAAUGGUUGGCUAAUCAUCUCAGAAGCUUCUCCGAAAGAGACAAGGAAUCAUUUCGAAGUAGAAUGGCAAAGGUGCAGUCAGUUUUUGUGUAUGAUAAUGGUCGAGCAGAUGGGAUUGGACCGAUCCAACCUGAUGGUGCGGUCAAUCACAUAUGGAAGAAGGUACAGCAGAAGGUGCCAAUGGUGAAGGAAGCUGUCAUUAGGGAGAGGAGAAAACCAGUUGGUACUUCUGUUCCUCUUCGCUGUCAAUGUAUCUGAAUUGUCGAACCAAACCCCCCCCACCCCCUCCCCCAAAAGAUUUGUUUUUUUCGUUUUGUUUUUGUUCACGAACAUUGUUGUGUCAUAGUAUAAAAUACUAUACCAAAAUGAUUUUGACAAACAAACAUUUUCUUUUGUAUAAUUAUCCUGAGGAUUUGUUGCUACAGACUGAUUGUGAAUCAUACAAAAAUUUGCUCUUAGGACUUUUAGCUAUCGAGUGGUUAAGUUACAUGGAAUAAUAAUUUAAAAAAGACAUUCAACAGAUUUUAAACUUCCAAAAUAAUCACUUUUUUUUUUCAUUCUUAUAACAAAAACAAUACUUAUACAAAUCUCAACUGACACUUGUUUUCUUAGUACAGACUUCCACAUGCUUGAAACUCCCUUUGGAUUAAUGUAAUGGAGAAAAAGGGAACAGAGACAAUCCAAACACUAACAUCCACCCCCAGAAACUUUGCUAAAAACUGCACAAUAACAGGGUGAAUAACAACUGGACCUGUCUCUAUUUACAAUAUCAAAUGAAAGAAUCAUAAAAACGAGUUUUGAUUUUGAGUAUUAUAAUCAAAUAAUAAUAAUAAUAAUAGCUUAAUGUUUUUUUUUUUUGGUUUUUGUCCUUCAAGAGUCGCUCUCCUUGGAUUGAACACACCAUUGGUCAGGGACGCAUAAGAAAUGAGUCUUCAUGAAUUUCCUGAACCUCGUCUUGUAGUCAAUAGGGCUGAUCACUGUCGGCUGCACGUUCUUUGGAACCACCAAAGACGAUUUGACCCACGUCUCUAACUGCUUGUCCCAUGUGUAUUGCCUCAAGUAGUCUAUUAUCCCACACACUAGCUCAUGACUCUCAUCAUCUACUCCAACCAGCAAUGAGUAGUCCAUCACGUUUAUACUCUGCAGAUUUUGUUCACAAUUUAUAAAUAAGUUGAUUGCUGUGUAACACAAAUAUAUACUGAACAUAUAUAUGUGUCAUGAGAGAGAGAGAAAAAGAAGAACUCACGGUCAGGAAGGCUGUGUCGUUGUAAACCGCUCUUUGCAGAUUUUGCUUUGAUGUCUUGCUAACGUAAAGAGGGGAUUUGUUCAUGUCGUUGACGAAGUUCUGAUCCAACAGAACAUCUUCCGCGCCAUUAGCAGAAGUAGCCGUAAACCGAGCGUGUAGAGCGCCUUUGAGAUCGUAUUGGCGAGUAAUUUUUCUGCCAAAACUGAGAUUCUCCAUUACCAUCAGGUCGUGCCUUAUCUCUUUACCGCUCUUUGGCUGCCUUACAGUUACCUGUAAAAAUAGCAAUCGAAGCUCCUUCAAAAUAAAGUCCUAUCCGUUUCUUUAACGAUUUAGGCAAAAUGCUAAUGGUAGAAUGGUCAAGAGAUGAUUCUAAAGACAUUAUUACCUGAUAGAUCCCAAGAACUUUGGCAAGACAAGUCUGGUUGCCUAGAUCAUACGAGUCCUUCAUGUACUUGAAAUAUUCCGGAGCAAACGUCACAAAUGAUUCGUACUCUGUCUUCUUGAUCUCUUUUACAAUGAACCUAUCAUCCAAAGUCUUAGCGAACACUGAUUUGCUCUUCCCGCCCUUGGCAUCCCACGGCUUACAACGGCUAAGCGAAGCAAUAUAGUCAAGCUCUGAGGAGCAACAACGCUUUCUGAGGUCACGGAAAUCAUCUGCAUAUAGGCACACAAUAGAGUAUUUGGGUUUUCCCACUGAUUUGAGUGACCCAAAAGUAACAAGGACCUCUGGAGGUGGUAUUUCCAACCGACUCGUACUCUCACUCGCGAAACGAGAAACCUCACGGUCAACAGUUUGCUUAGAAUCUUGAUCUUUAUCCAGGAACCCUUCGAGUGAUCCAUGAAUGCACCUUGAAAGAGGCAAUCUGUUAUCAGCAUUGCUCAGAUGGGCAAGCGCGCAAGCUAUUAGGCUCGAGACCUCGUCUUCAUAGUCUGACACGAUAAAAUCUUCAUCCCUCAAAGAGAUCCGCAGACGAGAACCUUCCUCAGUGAUUAUUUGGUUCACCGCAUGCAGGUUAUCUUGGGUGAAAUUGUUAACAUACUCAAAUUUCAACAAGUAUUCCUUCUCCACAUCGACAAUAGGCUUUGAUCGUAGAUCUUCAAAUGGCAACCAGAACCACUCAUCCCAGCCUAAGAUGUGUGGCCCAUUAGAGGCAGCAACCUUCCCAUCCGGUGGAUCUCCACUAUCUGGAAUUAAUUCUUGUUCAUUGGCUGAAUGGAUAUUAACAGCCAAGUGAGUGUCAAAAUGAUCGUUGAUGGGAGAGGUUGUAUCAGGCCCGGGGCUGGACAGAGUUUGCAAUUCAUUAUCUUCAGAUUCUUCCAUCUCCCCAACAGAUGCACCCACAAUUGGAAUUUCCUUGUCUUCAACAAGUGGUUCGUCCAUGCCUUCAUUGCUACCAGAAUCAGAAACUUUGUCCUUAUUUUCAUAUCUUGUCAAUCCAGUCUCAAGAUUGGUCUCUACACCUUCUUCAUUUAUCUUCUUCUCACCACUUGAAGGUAGCAAACGAUUAGAUAAAACCAGUGACUGCAAUCGGUAGUUCCAGGUGAGAGCUUGGAACAAAAGUUCCCACCUCAUGCGGUUUAAGCGGAGCAGUUUGUGGGAAACAUCAUCCAUGGUUUUAGCAUUCUCAAAAGACAUCUUGAUGUUUUCCUAUUUUAGGCAAUAAUGCCCAAGAAAUGGAUGAAAAGGUAUUAGUAAGCUUCUGUCAUGAACUACAAAGAUAUUGUAUACUGAAUGCAAUUGUUGCAAUGCUAACCUGAAAUAGGCGGCGCUCGUGAUUCAGUAACUCGUCGACGUUUGACAACAAUUUUAGUGCACACUGGUAGCUGAGAUCUGAAUUUGUGAACUGUGAUCUUAGUCUCUUCAGAAAACUAGUAGCGUCCUCGAACAAGGAUAUACCUUUAGUGAAUACCUGAACAGGUAAACAGAAACAAUCAGCAAAAAUCAUUGUGCAAUUAAAGGCCAGCACUCGCCCCAAGCAAGAGAUAAUCUUUGUUGCUAACACCAUGCAUAUGAAUAUACAGGUGCAGUAGAAAAUAAACUUACUCCAUGGAAUUCUUUUUCAAGCCAACCCACUUUUAUAAAAAUGCUAGGCUCCAGCAUCAUGGGUGGCAGAGACACUGUGUAAGAUGUGACUUGGGAGUAACUGAGCAUAGCAACCAUGGAGCCUAACCUGCAGGUUGUUAACAUGUCGUAAGAUUAAUCAUAUAUUACUAGAGACAAUAACGGCUCUCAAACCAUCAUCCAUGUUUUUUACGUCUCAACACUAGAACCAAGGGACCUUCAAGAGAGCUAACUAAGCCUUAAAACAAGAAAAGUAGGUAUAAACUAACCUAGAAUAUGUGAAUGCGAAUAUUUCGGAAGCCCAUAUAAAUAGAGUAACUCAAAACUUUACUUUAGUACUUGAUUAGAAUAUGUGAAGCUCCAGGUUGAGCAAAAUAGAGCAAAAACAUACCCAAAGAAGUGAAGAAAGUCCUUGUCCAAAGAGUGGCCGCAGCUACACAAUCUAUUCAGAAAAGUUUGCUGAGUAAAGCUGAGCUCCAGGAAUUUUCCAAAUGACAAGCUACGAGCAGCAGUCGAUAUCAGCACUCGUUUGGUAGAUUUCCGGGUCCCAUUCUUUGUCUUACACUUUCCACAACGACUCCACAUCCAGAUUUUUCCUUUUGCCUCACCAGGCAAACAUUUUGGCACAGAAAUUCGCUUGAUUUGGAUUGUUAGUUGCUUGUUUUGAUGAGCAUAAUAGUAAAGAUGUGCUUCCGGAGUUUCACCGCACGUUCGGCACUGGCUUCUCUGCACCAUAAACAGUUGCCUUAAAAAACUUGCCAUAAAUGUUGUAAAGCUUAUUAACAUAAGGAACACAGAUUAACCUUGACAAAAGAACAAAACAGCAUUUAAAAAAAAAAGAAAAUGACAAAGAACAAGAGUAAAACCUGAAUGAACAUAUCUCGCAGGAAUCUAUCCAAGCGAACAUCAAAGUGCUUGUAAAACUUUAUGUGCGAAAAAUGACUUUGGUCACACAUCAUCCCAUUGAAAGCAUUCCUCUUUGACACUAACACCAAUAUACUCUGAGAUUCCAAGGUGGUCUCAAUAUCAUUCUCAGUUGGCGACCUCUCUCCAUCAUCUGAAUUCGUGUUUACCGGGAGCCCAGGGUCAAGUAACAAAGGUCUUUCAUCCUUUUCUGUAGCAUCUUCGGCAGAUUCCCUUAUCGAAUCUGUAUCCACAGUAACUGGAACUGAUUCCGGAUUUUCAACUAAGCCAAAAUAUUUACUUAGCUUGGCGGAUAAAGAGGAAAACCCAGUAAAAAUAACUGGAUUAUAUGGCUCGUGAGAGAAGACAUGAUCUCCACCAGAAUCCCAGUUUUCAGCUUUCUCACCAUCUGAUUCCCCAUUUAUCUGAAUAGAUCGUUCAUCGAAUCCAUUAGAAAAGGGAAUAUCAAUUGCUUCAAGUGAAGAUUUUCCAGGAGAAGGAGAUAGUAGAACUUUUUCUGUUUCCAUAACACAUGAUGUAGCUUCCUUUGGAAAGAUGGUUGAGAACAUUGUUUGCCGAUCAGCAAGGAAGGAAGCCUCCAACAUUAGAUGAUAUGCAAGGUUAAAUGAAUCUUGUACUACUUCUUUGACCUUUUUCAACCUUUCACUGUGGCUUCCUUUAAGUAAAAUCUGUCACAUACCACAAUGUCAAAAUCAGAUAAUCAGGGGUACACUGCAAGAAAGUCCAAGGUCAAUGUCACAAUUUCAAAUUUUGAAAGAUUUGAUGUUUUAUCCAGUGGAAACUAGGCAGUUAUGUGAUGUAUUGAUGUGUUACUCAAGUAAAGAUACCAUCAAGGACUUAUCAUAAUCCAAUAUCAAUCAAGCACUCACCGUGCAGCCAAGGCGGGUAGGACAACCUUCUAAGAACAUCAGCGUUUUAGUUGGCUUCUUCUCAGCUUCGCCCACAGCAUUAUGCUCCUCCACAAUUUUCUCAAUGCGAAAGGAAUCACAGUGCUUUAACUUCUGACUAGACAGAGAUUCCAAUGGAAUGAUUGGUGAACCUAUGCAUCGAGAAAUUCGCUGUAGACGGUGGAGCUUCAUGUCAAGCACCAGAGUGACCUUUUGUUCAUUAAUAGACAAUUGGAUAUCACGCGAAACAGAUUUUUCCACCAGCAUGAUGUCAGGCUUCAACGCGGUUAUGAUAUCAACAACAGGCUUCACAUAAACAUCUUUGUCCUGUUGGCAAAAACCAAACAAAAAGAAAUCAGAUAUUACCAAAUGAAAGCUUUCAAAAUGGUGAAUUGGUGAUCGCCAAGUUACUGUGCUCCCCACCUUAUCCAUUGACUGGAGAGAAGAAAAGCCACUUAAUGGCUGGCCCAGUACUCCUUCGACUAACAUUAUUCUAGGAUGCUCAUACUUGGUAGGCAUUUGUUUAAGAGCAGCAUGUUUUUUGAAAACAAGGCCUUUAAAAACUUCACUGCAGAGAUGAACAAUCAUUAGGAGAGUACGGUAGAGGGAAAUGGAAUAAAAAGCAUAUGCAACGUAUAGGCAAUCAAUGGGUAACUUGUAAUACCUUUCAUUGCAAGAACCAGUUGCUAUGCAUUUCACUUUGAUGUACUCAGCCGGAUCAACUGGUUUGCCAUCAAUAUCUGGCUUUAAUAGUGAAGCAGCCUCCCAGCAUAGCCUAGCAACUAUCUCACUCCAACUUUCACCUUCUUCCAUUGAAAACCCAGCCGACUGAAUAAGCUGACUCACAAUGAAGUUAAACUUUGAGUUUGCCACCGCAAGCAUUGCUCUUCUAUUUUCUUCAUUGAACUUUCUCUGGUUACUACUGCCAUCUUUAGAUUCCCCUAAAGAAGAUGAUCCCCUUUUAGAGGCAUCACAACAGUCAUCACCAUCAGCAGCAUCUUCUAGUUCAUCUUCUGGGUCUAGUGGCUCCGGGGGUUCCCAAAUAGGGGGGGCAUCCAUUUCAGCACCAUCAUCUUCACGAUCAGAUAGGAAUUGAACACUUUCAACACCGUUGUCUUUAGAUUUUUCACCCAAAAUAUAAAUGUCUCUCUGGAUGUCACUGGGCAUGCUCUUGGACUUGCGCUCUAAGGUAUAUUGGCGAUCGACCUUCUUAUCCUUUAGGGGGGAGUCCACAUCUUCUUGACUACCAUGGCUUGAACACUCAUCUUCAUUACCCCUGACAUAGACAGAACAAAGUAUAUCAAUAAUCUUUGAUUAAUCAAAUCCUAGCAACAUGUAUGUACCAGCCUUACCUUUCAUAAGAGUUUCCAUCAACAGAACACUCGCCUAGCAAAACAAAAUCAUCAAACCAUAUGGUUAGAUAAACACUGUCACAUGAUUCAGGACAUAACAACAAGAAACAUACCAGAGAGAGAGCGUUCGCUGUCCGAUAAGGAGUUAGUGGUCGUCAUCAAUGGAGUCAGUCUCUAACCAAGGUCGAUGUAAAUGUAAAUCUCAGAGGAUAUUUGUGAUCAUUCUCCGUUGUACUGACCAAAGAUCUGAGUAAAAACUACAAACACGUUUCCACCUACUUGAAAAAAAAAAGAAAAAAAAAGAAAGACGCGUGAAUUAGCAUCUACGCCACUAAUAAAUCUGAUAAGUAGUAAAGGAAAAAUAAUCAGACCGACGGAGAUUUAUGAGAUCGAGCAUGCCCCAAAUAAAUAAAUAAAUAAAUAAAUAAAAAGAAAAAGGAGAGAAACAAUCCGCGAAGAUCUAGAGAUUUACGCCAAUUUAAAAAAAAAAACAAAAUCAAUUUCAGAUUUCGAAUUUCUGUGAACAACUGUACUGCCGAAUUAAUGAAGAAGAGGAAAUCAAGCAAUCCACGAACCGGAUUCACCAGAUUUCAAAGUUUUCGCGAAGAUCUGUGGAUUUUAUUAUAAAAAUCCGUUCAGAUUUCGAAUUUCUGAGAAUCAUUUUUCGUUAUUUCAAACACGAACUCGCCGGAACGAGUCAAAUCAACACUGAGAUCAAAUUUCAGUUCAAUAAAACUGAUAAUCUUCACAGAAUCAACGAAGAUCAUCCGCUGCUAAAGAACAAGCAAAAGCCAGAAAGUCGAAAAGAAUGACUCACAAGAGUUUUCCAGAAAUAUGAUGAGCUUGAGCUUGACGAAAUUGUAGAUUCUUUUGUGCCUUCAAGAGUAUAACAAAGCCAGAGAAGUUGGUGGAUUUGGUCUUCUUCCUCGAAAUGAAACGAGUCCACGAAGAGUUGUCUUAGACGGUGGAGAGAAUGAAUGGAGACGAAGCUUGAAGAAGCGAUGGCAGAAUAUUUCAUUUAUAUUCCACUUUUACCAGUGGGCUCCACUUCUAUUUCCAUUUAUUUUCUUUUCUCAUUUCUUUACAAAAUAAUAAGACCAGUUUUUACAGCUACAAAAUAAUACCUUUUUCUUUUUUUGACAUUUUCUUACUACUUUCCGGUCUUAAACACAUAUAUAUUUUUUGUACAUUUUUAACUGCAAAAAAAAAAUCAAAUAUAAAUUUACUGUUAUUUGUGGAAAUUUCAUUUGUUAUAUUCAAAACUCUACAAUAUUAAACCAAUUAGAUGAUUGUUAUAUUCUAGUAUGGUUAGUAUAACUAACAUAUAAAAAAAUAUGAGAUGUUCUGUCGGAUUUGAUUUUCUUGAGUUUGAACUUUGAAGCUUUUUCCGAGUGUUUUGCAUUUCACAACUACAACAUGUGGCAUAUAAUGAUGUAAUACAUUCAUUUCAUUGCUAUGAGUAAUAGUAAAAUUCAGAAGCGUGCACAAUUUUUUUUUAGAAAUUGAUUAAAAUACGUAUGUUUGAUUAAAGACCAAAAACCUAUCUAAAAUGAUGCCUAGUUUAAGCUUUCAAACAAGUGAUAGAAUUCAAAUUACAGAAAAAAUAUAGAUAGAGUUUACCUCAAUAAAGGGAAGAUUCGUAGAAAAUGAUAUUCUUAUAUAUCUAUUAUUUAGAAUAAUAAUACUAUUACUUGUCAAAUAUACAUUCUACCAAAUAUAUUUUAACAUUUGAGUUUAAGGUUUUAAAAUUAUUAUUUGGGUUUUAUUGUUUAGGGUGUGUGUUGGUUUAUAAAUUUCUAGAAAUGUGUUAGAAAUUAUUUUAAACAUUUAUAAAUAAUUUAAGAGAGUUAAGAUAAUAUUUUAUCAUAAAUCUAAGGUAUUUAUGAAAAUGAUUAUCUUUUACGGGUAAAUUUGAAAAAUAAUAUCAAACUUGUAGUAAAACUGAAAUUCUCUGUUUUCCAUUUUUGUUGAUUGAUUUAGUGACUUUAUUCCACAGUAAGUUAUUUUUGUUUAUAAAUAAACAUUUACUUGUUAGAUAAUUUUUUACACAAUUUUCCAUACUAUUUUAUGUGGAUAUCUAAUUUAUUAAAAGAAAUUAUAUUUUCAACAUAUAAGCAUAUGACAAGUUAUAUAUGAAAUAAGUUCUAAGCCUGAAAGUAUAUACAACUAUUCAAAAUAUCAUAUUAAUACCCUUUUUAGGUAAUAUAAGGAAAAAUAUUUUAUAAGUAAUAAAGCCAAAAUUUAUUAAUGUAUAGGUAAAUAAUUAUCACUAUGCAAACAAAGAAACGAAAAAAAUUCUAAUAGGAGCCAGAAAAUGUUUAAUAAACACGCACAAAAAUUGGUGUGAAGCUCACGUGUAUGAAAAAUCUAACAUAUAUACUACAUAUAACAUAAAAUCGAUAGAUGACAAAAAAAUAUAUAAACUAAUACUUGAUGCAUUAAUAAAAUAAUAAAUUUAUAAAUUUCUCUGAUUUCAACUUAGAUUAGUUAAAUAUAACAUAGUAAAAUAAUUAUAUUUUAAAAAUUCUUAAUGGAUUAUAUGAUCCCUUUAAAAUAAUAAACUAAUUAUUAGUAACUAUAUAUAUUAUUUUUAUAUAAAAUAAAAAAUAAUUUUAUUGUUUAUUUUCUAAAAUAAAAUAUUUAUUUAUUUCGAUAUUUUAGUGCUACUUUAUCAAAUUACAUAUAAAACCACAUUUUCAUUAUAUCAUAUGUAUUCAACAUACAUAAUAUAUAUCAAAUAAUCUAAUAAUAACAAUACAUAAAAUUCUAUUCUAUAAAUUUUAACCAAUAUAUAAUAUUUAUUUUUGGUGAAAUUUCAAAUUUAUUGAUCACUCAAAAGACAUUUACAAGUAAAUGAAUGUUAAAGAAUUGCUAAAGCCUACUAGGAAAUAAAAUUGACUCCAAGAAACUGCUAAAUGCCAUUAACGUCAAACCAUCUACUCAUAAGAACACCUAGCUUAUGAUCCCCUACAUAUUUAAGAGAUGAGAUCCUGUUCCUUAUCGCUUUAUCCGUCAGUUUUAUCACAUGCUCCACUGUCUGAGGCCCUUUGUGAUGUCGUCUAGCAUUCCGCUCUCUCCGUAUGUGGUAUAUAGUCGCCUGAAACAGAAGACACACAAGAACUUUGUCCACUCUAGUAAAACGCCUUGUCUGAAGCAUCAUCAGAUUAUCAUUCCAAUCAGGGUUGAUUCCAGUUCUAAUCAAUCUGCUAGCCAGUUUGUCCCACAGCGUGUAUGAGUACGGACAGCCAAAAAAUAGAUGAUCGCGCGUCUCAUCUUUCUCCCCACAUAGAACACACUCCUGAUGAAGACCCUAUGCUCGCAUUCGAUCGCCAGUAGCAAGUCUGUUCAGAACUGCCAACCAGGUUAUGAAUGCAAACCUCGGUACCCCCUGAGCUAACCAAAUGCUGGUGCUCCAUUUAACUUCAUCUCGUUUAUGUCGAAUCUGAUCCCACGUCUUAAUAGCAGAGAAGCUAUCGUGAUAAUCAUCUUCCGAGUGCCGCCAAAGGAUCACAUCCUCACCAAGCUCAAGUGCAGGAACUGGUACGUUCUGUAUCAUCGUAUGUAAGUUGUGAUAGUGUCUACUCCGUUGGCCUCUUACGUUCCACUGGGAGUUUGAGACUGCUUCAGAUACCCGCGCCUUCCGUCUAACGCCAAGAUAGCGUGUACCAACAGCUCCAGUAAUCUUGAUUAUUUUCCCCACAUGCAACCAGUCAUCGAACCAGAAAAAAGCCCUUCUUCCAUUGCCUAUCUCAAACCUAAAGAACUGAUAAGCCAGGGGGCGCAACUGCAGUAGUUUCCGCCAUAUCCAAGAUCCCUUCGAAUCAUCUCUGACAUCCCAAAAGGAGCCUUCUUGCAAGAGGUAAUGCUGUAUCCAAGAAACCCACAAAGAAUCUGAUAGCAUAAACAACCUCCAAAUCAGGUUUGAAGCAAACACUUUAGUAGAAUCCCUUAACCGUCUUAACCCAAGUCCACCUUCCGAUUUAGGGUAGCAGAGAUCCUCCUAUUUAAUAUUUGCCUUAUGCGUCUGGUUGGGUGAGCCUGACCACAGAAAUGCGCUACAAAGACUCUCAAUGUCAUCCAGACAUCCCAUUGGCAGAAUAAAGGCUUGGCUCCAAAAAUUAAUGAUAUCUGCGAUUACUGACUUGAUCAUUGCAAUAAUAAUGUUUACGUCAUUUUAAAUAAAACUAUUUUAAAAACUAAAUUUAGAAAAAUUAUUUUAAUUAAUAAAUUAUCAUAAUCCCAAAGCUAUUAAUUUAUAAAUUUUACUGUAUAUAUUAAUUGUAAUCAUAUAGGUUCAGUAUAUUUAUUUGGUGUUUAAACUGCAAAAGAGUAUAAAUACUAUGUAGUUAUGCAUAAAAUAUAAGCUUGUUAUAUUCUAGUGUGUUUGUUUUUUUUUUCAAAAUAUGGUUAAAUUAACUAACAUAGAAAAAAUUGUGAGAUGUGUACUCAGAUUUGAGUUUCAACCUAUUUUCUACAAGUAUUUUGCAUUCUAUGAAAAAAACACAUGGCAUAUACAAAUGAUAAGUCUAUUUCAUCGUUUGAGAAUAAGAGUAAAAUUUAACAAGUGUGGAUGAUUUUUUCAUUUUUAUUUAACUAUUUAAGUUAUUGUUUUCUAAUUAUAUGUUAUUUAUAUUUUUAAAUGAUAUUUUUAAAUGAUAUCUUAAUUACUAAAUGAUGCUUUUACAUGGCUUCACCAUGCUUAAUAUUUUAUUGUAGAUUUAUUAAAUUCAAUGAAUGAAUUUAUAUUCACAUUAUGUAAACAUAUGGUAUAUUCUAUAUAUUUGAAACUAAUUUCUCAAAACCAAGUAUUAUAUAUUAAUUAAAUUUUAUAUGGUUUAUUUAUUUAUAUUCUAUGUAAUUUAGUUUUGUAAUUUUUUAUUUUAUAACCUUUUUGGGAGACCGUUAAAAUUUAGCUGUGGUUGAUAUAUUACAACAAUAAUGUAACUAAAUAUUAAAAUAUAGUAUUGCUUUUUAUGGUAAUGUAAUAAAGAUUUUAUUAUUUUUAUUUCCUUUAGAAACAAAAUUUAGAAAUUUAUUUGGAAAUUAAUAAUUAAUUUGUAAACAUAAAGAACAAAACUAAAAGUGUCCAAAAUAUUUUGUAAAUGUUUGCUGUCAAAAAAAAAAUGUCCAAAAUAAAUUUACUAAAUGAUGAUGGGAAACGUUUUCAAGACGGACGAAAACUAGUCAAAACUAGUUAGAAAUUCACGUGAAAAGAAACGUUAACGUAUAUAAUGUGAUUGUCAGUUUUUAAAUAUACGUUAGAAUGGCUUAUCUAAUGAUAGUACAUAUACCUAUAUAAUAUAUAUGACAUGUGUCGUGUUUGUAAGACCACUUUCGUAAGCUAUAAUAUGUCAUAAAUAAAUUAUGUGUUACAAUAGUAUAUAAUAUUAUGUUUAGGUUUAUCUGAUGAGGUCAGUUAAAAUAUAACAUUUUUUUAAUAAAUUAACAUAUAAAUAUGUACAUAUGUAUAUUUUCAAUCGUAUGAUUUUAGAAUGACAUGCUUUUAAAUGUGAUUAAUAAUCUUUAUUUGAUGACCAAAAUAAUUCAUCAUUUAUCAUAUAAUAGGUUGAUACAAUUAAUUAUAAAUGACUGAUAUAUAAAUAUAUAUAAAAUAUAAUUUGUCAUGUUUUGAAAAGUUAAAAUUAUGCAUAUCUGGGUAAAAUAACACCUGGUCAUAUGGCAAAUGUUAACCACAUUGGUAGAUAAUUAAUACACAUUAUAAAAAAUCAUAUUGGAUAUAAUAUGUCAUGCAUUUAACAAAAUGUUAGUAAUAUAGAAAGAAGAAAAAUGCACAUGAGAGAAAAUAGAGUACAAUAAACACAAAUGAUAUUUUAAAAUACUGUAAUUCAUAUAAUAUACAAAUGUUAUCAAAUAAAACAAAAGAAAUAAAAAAUUGUUGCUUCAUCAGCUAACAAAUAAACCGUUUCAUGUUGUGGUCUUCAAUGAAAAAAAUGGUGUAGUAUAAUUUGAAAUUAUUAUUAACCCAAAAUAAUAUUUUGAUAUUAUUUUUCCAAACUGAUGAAUUUUUUUAACUUUAUCCAACUUUUUCAUUUAUUAUAAGUUUUAGAUAGAGGAAGUUUUUCUUUUUAGUUAUAACUUAAACAAUGAACUAUUUUAAGUUUGGGAAAUUGGAUUGUAUGGCAUGGAAAAAAACCUAAUUCAAUGGAUAACCAAUUUACCUAACAUUCAUAUACACACCAUUACAUUUAUAUAAUAAUAUUGUAUUAGCCCUCUCUUCAACCGAUGCAACCUGAUGAAAAUAAAUAAUUAAAAUUUUUAAUUAUUAACUUCAAAAAGUAAAUCGUGGCUUACCCUACUUCACAUUUUCCCUUUUUACUUCACUUGCUAGCUUCCUCGCAUUCUAAUGGUCUCCGAUGCUGAUUUGCUCCACAUCGUCGCCUCCACCGGAAUUCCAAAGCUUUGUUGACGUCUUCUUCACUCUUUACAAUCGCGUUCUCUUUUCCUCUUGUGAAAUCAUCCGCCACCGGCCGGCGUUAAAGUUGCAGCGGAAGAUAGUAACAAACCGUUCCUAUUCCAAUUCACCUCCUCUAUUUUGUCAGAUAUCUGGAACUACGGUAAGUUCUUGGGGUUUGCCUUCGAAUCUCUUUAUCUUCUCGUCUUUUCUUGUUAUUUUCUUUUCCAUUUGGUCUCUUCUCGGAAUUAGGGUUAUAUAAUUGAUAACUCUAUAAAAUCGUUCCAGGUGCAUGUCGGAUCUGUUUUUAGCCGACAGUUAGGCAAUUGAUUUAGGGUUGGGGUUUAUCCGGUUGUUCUUCGGCUUUGUUAAAAUUGAAUUGUGAGUUUUAGCAGAGAUACUAUGUAUGGAAUAGUUUGAUGUAUGGCAUAUAAUUUGUAUUACAAUUUGUUUGCGUCUGAACGGAGCAUGAUAUCUUCUAUCUCUAUUCUAUUUACAGUGGAAUAGAAUAAAUUGUUAGUUCAAAUUAUUUUACUUGCGACAUAAUAUUCUAUUUAGAUGUGUUUGAAUGCUUGCAACAUAUGCCAUACCAUUCAUUAUCAUCCAUUUUAAUCUGUAGAAUAUACACUACAAGAAAAUUAUUAUAUUAUGACGAAAUUUUUAGUCGCAAUAUUAAAUAAUUCGUAAUAAUAAAGAUAUUGUGACGUGUUUGAGACGAUUUGAGAACAGUUACAAUACGAUCGUCACAAAUGUUCGUUAGUAACAAAACUGUUACUGUGUUUGCGACACAUUCAUACAGUAACAGUUCGGUCACAAACAGCAACGAUAUAUACAAGUAACAAGUCUGUUAUAAUUACCAACUAAAAAUAAUGUCACAAAACUGUCAUAUUAUGUGACUGUGAUAACGUCUUAAUUCCGUUGCUCAUUGCAACAUAACUUUAGUCUUAAAAUGUCACAAAUGAAGACUGAAAAGCCAUCACAAAUUUGUCUUCGAUUACGACUAAUUGUUAGUCACAAAUUUGUCACAUUUUAUAACUAAAAUAUCAUCAUAAAUCCAUCGUAGUUAACUAUUGCUUUGUUAUAGUUUUUCACUAAUUUAUUAAGUAUUGCAAUUAAUUAUGUUGAUAGAAGCAUAUAUUCGUUUGAAGCUAUUCAUCAUUUGUAUCUAAAUUACACCAAAAUACAAUACAAGGUAACAAUUAAUAAAGACAAUAGCGUUUUAACACUUUUAUGAUUCUUGCACAGAAAGCAAACGAUAUGGAGACUUCCUAUACAAUGAUAUAUCUUUAGUUCAGAUCUGACCAUAAUGUCUAAACGAAGUCUAACAAUGAAACUGUCUUUGUCUUCGUCGAUGAUUUCUUUUAUCUUGGCUCCGAUCUGUUCUAUCUUUUCCCUUGACUCUCCAAUCGGACUUCUCCGUUCCUCUCCUUACUGACCAGGCUGCCGGCAAACACUACCUAAACGAUGAAUGAUGAUAGUACGGGAGAGGAUUCUCCCUCUCUCUGAGGCAGCCGCAGCCUUAGCUUUUUAUGGGGUGCAAAAAAGUCUGUACACAUAUAACAGAGGACCUCUUUUUAGGGUUAUAUAAUAAUAGAUUUUAAGUGGGCUUUAAGGGUUUAGGUAAAAAAAUUCCACGGUAAAUUUAUUAAGUCUCUUGAUUCCUAUGUCACGUGAUAUUUGUAGAGAGUAUUAUAUAUAAAAAUAGUUAAUAUUUCUCUUUUAUUUUUGACAUAAUUUUUUGUCUAAUAGAAAAACAGUUACACCAAAAUACCAAUCAAGAUAAUGAUUGAAAAUAUAUUAUAUGAUAUCUUUUUGUUAUAAAGAAAAAAUAUAUAUACAAUUGACUAAAAUGAUAGUAAGUAAUUCUAUAUAAUAAAAUUUCAAAAUACAACGAACUUGUUACAUCAUUUGACUGCAGUUUGUUACAAAUAAAAAUAUUUCCGGAUUCGAACUACUAACUCGUGUUUAGUCACCAUAUCAUCAUAAACUAAGACUACCAAUUCAUAACAAUUUCAUAACAAAGUUUGACCAAACAUUUGGUCAUAAUAUUGUCACAAUUUGUUACAACUAUCAUUUUUGUCACAGUUUUGUUAUUAAUUGCGACGAAAGUUGGCUACCGUUUAAAUAGUCAUAACAUUGUGACAAAAUAACAACUUAUUUGUUACAUAAAAUUUUGGUUGCAAUAUUGUAUCAACAAUGUCACAAAUCUGUGACGAAUAUUACCAGUAACAAAAUUCAGUCACAAUAUCUUCUUUCUUUUUGUAGUGAUAUAACUCAUUGUUACUUUCUUAUCUUCAUUGUUCAGGUUUGGCAUGUAAGAUUUAGACCUUCCAUGUGAAGUCGGUAGACGUUGUUUAGGUUUGAAAUAAUUUCCACUUUAAAGCUAAUGUGAGUUAUGAUUGCUAUAUAACUGAUAAUCAUAAUAUAAUAUAUGUUGUUUUGUAGCUCUGAUGAUGAGGAGUAACUACAAUAGGCCGAUGAAUAUGUUUCUUCUCAAAUUUGUGGGAUUGUUGAUAAAAUUGUCUCUAUUGAUGGUGAAGGAUUGUGGUAUAAUAGAGUUUCAAAGAUUCAUGUGGUGAGCGAUAAGACUUGUGUAGUGGUGAUCAUUUCCAUCUAUACAAUUGAAACCAAUGUCAUCUAUGCAUAUAUAAUAGAAAUGUAAAACAAUAUAUAUUUUUCAUAAUUUGUUAUGCGAUGUAUUCUGUUACUAUAUUAUCUUAUCAUGUUCUAUUCCGCUUGACGAUUAAUAAAAAGUGCUCUAUUUUGUUUAUAAAUAUUGUUUGUAAUUUUAUUAAGUUCUCACUAUCGGUACAUGUUUGUUAACAUGUAAAAAUCAUACUAUGAUCUAUAUUGUAUAGUUUAAUAUUAUAUAAUAUAAUUUAAUAUUACAUAAACUUUUUAGAUUUUGAUAUUUGGGUUUAGGGUUUAUAUUUGGGUUAGGGUUUAGUGAUUAGAGUUUAGGGUUUAGUAUUUAGAAGGUGAGAGGAUAUGGUUGGGGUUAACAUUAGAUUCUUCCAUGCAAUGAUAGAUAUUUCAUAAUUUCAACAAUAUGCACUAUGUUAUUUAUUUUGUUUCAUUAUAUUUGGGUUUAGAGUAUAUAUUUUGGUUUAGGGUUUAUAUUUGAUUAAGAGUUUAGUGAUUAGAGUUUAGGGUUUAGUAUUUAGAAGGUGAGAGGUAUGGUUGGGGUCAUCAUUAACUUCUUCAAUGCAAUCAUAGAUAUUUCAUAAUUUCACCAAUAUGUAUUAUGUUAUUUAUUUUGUUCCAUUCUAUUUGGAUUUUGGGUUUAUAGUUUAUAUUUGAGUUUAGGGUUUAGUGAUUAAGGUUUAGGAUUUAGUAUUUUAGGAUUGGGGUAAUGUUUAUUAUUUAGAGGUUGUGAAUGUAGUUAUAAUUUAUAUUUGGAUUUAGGUUUAGUGAUUGGGAUUUAAAGUUUAGUAUUUAGGUGUUGGGAUAAUCUUUAGUAUUUAGGAGUUGUAUAGUGAUUGGGAUUUAGGGUUUACUAUAGAGGUUAUGAUAAUGUUUAGAAUUUAGGUUUGUGAGUGGAAUUAUUAUCCUAUACUAUUUCGGCGACAUGGAAUAGAAUAUUUGGUGUAUAUGUAUGUGGUUAAUAAAUGUGUUACGUGAAUGUGAUUGUAAAUACGCCACAGGAAAAGCGACGUCGCCUAUUUUCUUACUUGCAACUGGAUACCUGUUAAACAAAAGGACAUAACCGGAUGAUUUGAGGUAUAAAUGUCUGACACUAAAUUAUGUCAAAAUCAUUGCCAUACACCUAAUUUAUUUUUCAAAUAUGGCUAUUACACAAAUAACCCCUUUAAGUUUUUAGUGUGUUGACAUAAGAAUUAAUAUUUCACGUUUUCUUUUUCUUUUCUAUGCUCCUUUUUCACACUUAGCCAAUCUUCUCAUUUUAUACAAUAAUCUUCUUGUUCUUAUGACAUCUUUAAUUAUUUGAUCACAAAGCUUUUAACCAUAUUCUCACACACUAAUAGUUUUUGUCUAUUGUCUACUUGAUAAACCUUAGCUUUUUUCUCUCGAUUUACUGUUGGUAAACAAUUUUUUCUUCUUUUAUAAUUUUGUUGUCUACUCUGAUUUUUCAAUCAAAGAUACUACUUCAAGAAUAUUCUGGUUAACUAAUCAAUUCUUCACAAUGUAUCAUUAUUUCAUCAUGGGAUAAUUGGAAUAUGAUUAUCUAAUAUAUGGGUCAUGACUGAGCUUUGUGAUUUUAGUAUAAUGAUCAAUUUUGAUAGGCGGUUGAAUGAUACCAAUAUUCACUUUAUCUUUAUGAUUUUGUUUUUUUAACUUUUUUUUUCAUCAACAAUACAGACUCAUACUGGCUCUGUAAACCAAACCGGUUUACAUUUUUGACUCAGAUCACCUUUUUGACUCUGUAAUUGGAAUAUGAUUAUCUUCAGUUUGCAUGGAUACUAUGGUAUAUAUGGAAAGGAAGAAAUAAUAAAGUCUUUAGUAAUUUGGAUGUGGAUCCGUUGGAUACCCUUAAACUGGCAGAAACGGAAUCAAAACUCUAGGCUGAGGCACAAAUACUGACUGAUCAUAAGAGGAGUCCACAGGUAGAGGCUAUGAUUCUUCCGUCAAUUUCAGGAAGAUGGUGUUUUACGGAUGGAUCCUGGAAAGAGAAUGAGGUUUUUUCAGGUCAAGGAUGGUACAGUACUCUAGAAGGAUUUGCGGGUUUGAUGGGUGCAAGAAAUGUUCGGGCUUCCCUUACUCCUCUUCAUGCGGAGUUGGAAGCUUUAUUAUGGGCAAUGGAAUGUAUGAAAAACUUACGACAAUUUCAGGUUACGUUUGCAACGGAUUGUUCUCAAUUGGUGAAGAUGGUUUCAGAACCAGAAGAAUGGCCAGCAUUUGCAAGUUAUUUGGAAGAUAUAAACAGCCUGAAAGAGAAUUUUUUCCGAGCAGAGAUUAUCUAUGUACCAAGAACGCAAAACAAGAAGGCAGAUAGCUUAGCCCGCAGUGCUAGGAAGAAAACGUCUUUUGUAGUUCACAUGGAUCAAGAUCUCCCAGUUUGGUUUACAGAGUCAACAUGAGUCUGUAAAGUUGAUGACAAAAAAAAAAAAAAAAAAAAAAAAUUGGAAUAUGAUUAUCUAAUAUAUUGGUCAUGACUGAGCUUUGUGAUUUUAUUAUAAUGAUCAAUUUUGAUAGGUGGUUGACUGAUACCAAUAUUCACUUUAUCUUUAUGAUUUUGUUUUUUUAACUCAGAUCACCUUUUUGACCUUUUUCUAUUUUUUUGCAUCAACUUAUCUUAAGUCAUGAACUUAUAAGUAUAAACAAACAUUCUUAGUUUUGGACUUAUUAUUUCUACCAUCAUCUCAUAAUUUUCAUGAUACUUUUUAUUCCACAAAAAUUGUUAUCUACUUGGAACUGACUAGUGGACACUUCAUUCGAACAUCUUAAUGAUCUCCUCUUAUAAGUUUUGUCUUCUUUAUCCAUUAAUCACAACAGCAUUCCUUGUUUUAAGCUUAUUGAUUUACAUUCCGAUCCUUUUUAAUUUCUUACUGAUUUUCCUAAACUUCCCCCAUUUUUAUAAGAUUUCAUAUAUUUCUUGUGUAAUCUGGUUUCAUGACUUGAAAUAUCCAGAAGCUUAUGUCUUCCUCUCUUCCAUGACAUAGCUUACUGAUCAUGAAUUCAACCAUUAAGGUUUUUUAUUAUUAUGCACUUCCAUUUUCAUUUUCUCAGGGUGUCAAUCUUUAAUGUUCCCUCUCAUAAAAUAUUUUCAGUCAUCCUUCCCAAUCAAUUCAGUUUGUCUCUAUACGUAUGAUGUUAGGAGUUUUCAAGGCUCCUAAGACAAAUGUUGUAGUAUAAAAGAUUGUCGAACCAGUUCUGAGAGAUAUCAAAGCACCGAGAAUGCAAGUAAUCGCUUAAUCUAAGUGCAACCAAUGAUUUAGAUGGGUUUUUAAACUAUGACUAAUUAAAAGGAAUAACUAAGUGAUACUUUCUUAACUAUUGGAAAAGAGAACUCAUGGAUAUAGGGAUUAGACCUCGGGUGAUCAGGUUUCGAACUAAAGAUGGCAAACGAUCAAUCAAUCUAUUAACCUUAAGCUUAGACACAAUCCUAAACAAACUCUAUGUCUAGAUGAAUGUUCAUUUACUUAACACAAUUCAAACAUCAAAUGUCUUUGGUUGAAUAUAUGAAAGCAAUCAUUACUAACAAGUCUAUUAGCUAUCUUAGCAUCUCUAACAACAAAUGUCUUUGGCAGAGCAUGCUAAAAGCCUAGGAGAGUUGUCUCGGGCAUUUCAUCGAACACCUUUCGGGUGAGAAAUGCCUAAGGAUCAACAACUGAAUGGCCAACUCAGAAGAUGCUUUAUGUUCACUCUACUAGCAAGGAAAUAUGAAUGAUCUACACUAAAACAUCCUAGUUCUAACCUAAUCACCCUUAAUCUCCCUAACCCAUGAAUUCAAAAGGUGAUUACUCACUAAUCUCCAUGAUUCCUCUUAAACCCAUGUUGGAUUUCAGAUUAAUCAUGUAGAGAAACACAGAAAAUAAAUAAGAACACAGAAUUUCAAUAAUAAACUGAUCAAUUGAUUCAAAGAGAUGACUUUCCAAAGGUUUUUGGUGGUUUUUUCUAAGAACAAAGAUGAUCUGCCUCCUGGUGGCUUACAGAGUAAUAAAACAUAGGUUUAGAAAAUAAAAACGUGCAUAAUGAAAUGACCAAAAUGCCCUUGAGAAAUCACAAGUUCGAGCAGAAAUAAAACACGCAGCGACCUCAGCCCGUCGCUCCGACAAGUCGCUCCAGGCUUCGGGAGCGACCUCGCUGUGUCGCUGCGAGAGGUCGCUCCGGGUUCGUUCUCGCGUCUCCGGGUGAUGAAAACGCGAGCGACUUCUUCCUGUCGCUCUGGUAUGGUCGCUCCAAGCUUCGGGAGCGACUUCAGCACGUCGCUCUGGAAGGUCGCUCCGAGGUGUAAAUGUGUGUCUCCGGACGAUGAAAACGCGAGCGACCUUGUGCAGUCGCUCUGGAUGAGUCGCUCCGGGAUGUGGUGCACAGCGACCUCAUGCCGUCGCUCCGAGAGGUCGCUCCAGCAGUGCUCGUCCAAAGCCCACUCUAAUCACCUCCUUUUGAGCUCCAAAUGCACCCAAAUGUCUCCAGAAACUCCAUGUGGUGCUCAACUACCUGAUAGAGACAUAUGUAUGCAAAAUGCAACCUAGACAUGGCUAAAUCCUAAUCUAUAUGAUGAAAAUGCACAUGAAUAAAUGGAUAAAACAAUGUAAAUAUGCAAGAUAUCAACUCCCCCAAACUUGUUCUUUUACUUGUCCUCAAGUGAACUUUCUAGAACUUGCAAGGAGAGAGGUUUGAAGGUGGGAGCUCAUAGCCAAAAGAAACACAACUAGCAAAUAUAAUUAGCACACUCUCUUAUUACACUCUAGCUUCUCUAGGCCUAUCUCAAAUCCUUUUGUCCCUACACUCAUCAUCAAGCAUCCACACAUUCAAAUCAACCAACUCUCACAUUCAUUAAGCACAAAACAUCAGGUGAAUUCUUGCAAAUGGUCCGUUGGUCCAAGUCACUUGGUUGGGUAAGGGAAGGCUUUUAUUCAAGUGAUUCAAGAGGUUCAAAACAUAUGAUCUUAAGGUGGUUUACUCUCAAAACAAGUAGCCUUGACAUUGCACAUAAUAUAUCUAAGAAAGGGACCAACUCAUGCAUACAAUGCUCAAUCUCCAUUGUUCUACCCUUUUCCCAAACAUACAAUUACACAAUCAUUCCCAAAUGUCAAACCCAACUCACAUCUCUCACCAAAAGAUCUUAAGAACUUUAACUCUUCCUUUUUGAAAUCUACAAGGGAUUUUUCUACAACCUCAAAACAUUUCUUAGCUCUUAACAACUUUGCUAGCCCCCUUUUCUUCUUUUUCUUUUUUUUUUUUUUUAUUUUUUUUUUUUUUUUUUUAGGUUGGGGGCCAAGACUUUUCAAAACUAGAGCUAGAGGUUCUCUACUUAUCCCAGAAAAUCAAUUCACUUAAGCACAAAGAGUCUAUCCCUUUUUAUUUUUCAUUUCUCCCAAAUCAUGAUCACAACACUCACCCUCCCACCUAUAGCUAGACAAUAGAGUGUCCAAUCUAGCAAAAAUGAAGAUCAAGCAUUGUCGUUCCCGAUACUCUCAACAUUAUGCGCAUGUAAGACUUUCCGAAGAAGGCCUCACUCAUCAAACAAUGAAAGCUUAAAAGGAGGGAAAGGUUUUGGGAGUGGUCUACCACUAGAGUUUGUCAAAGAGAUUGGCAUAAAAGAUGUGACAACUCAAGUGUGUAUAGCCAUGACUCAGUACACAAAGGACCCUAAGCAAGAAGCAUUAAGUUCAUUCAGUUCAAAUAAGGUUGUAGUUGGCUUCAAAGACUGAGUUUCAGCAAUCAACAAGUUUCAAGAAGAGUUUUCAAGGCUCGAAACAUACAAGUCUUUUCGAGAGGUGCAUGGCUACUCAAUGGUGCAACGUAGUGUUCUUUACAAGGCAUUUAAAAUCAUUGCUCCCAAUGCAACCUAUAUGCUCUAGACUCUCCUAAUGGUGCAAAUGAUGCAAACUAAAUGAAAAAUCCUUUUUUUUUUUUUUUUUAUUAUGCAAAUAGGCGUGCAAUGCAUGACUCAAAUGAAACACAAUCAAAGCAAACAUGAUCAAAUGCUUGGUACCUCCCCCAAACUUGAGUUACACAGUCUCUGUGUUGUCAAAGAAAGAAGGAGAUACCGAGAAGAAAACUAAUAUGCAAGAAUGAAAUGGUAUAUACAAGGGAGUGAAAGAAGUACCUCCUAUGGAUAAUAGGUGGGGGCAGAUGCCCCAGCAUCGUCGUCGUCAGGAGGGAAGGUGGUGUAGUAACCACCGGAUGCUGAACCGGAGCCUCCAUACCAUGGCUGGCUCUCAACCUCGUCAAUCUCGUGCUCACUGUCAGAAGAAGCGAGGGAUGGGGAUUUGUUGCCGGAAGUGGAAGGCUGAGUGGGUGGGUUCCUCCACUUACGCUGAAGCUGCGCAGCAGUGAGGGGGAAGCCAAGAGCAUCAGGCGGGGGUGGGGGCUGGGGGUUUGAGGUGUUCGCGAAAGCGAAAUCGGCUGAGCUACAUCCAGCUAUUCCUCCCCUAGUUAAGACAUCAGCUACUUUCUUCAUGAACUUGGCUGAAGUCUUUGCCUGCUUCUUCACAGUCUUGCUGAG
rnacentral:lncRNA from 1 species